rnacentral:lncRNA from 1 species
UAUUCUUUUCUCCUUCUCUCUCUAGAUCACUCCCUCCCUCUCAAAACUCUUGGAGGAUGGAAGAAUGAAAUGGAAGUGAUGAGGAAAUGGAAGAAAGGGGUCCUUAUUUAAAGAAAAUAGAGAUCAUUGGAUUUGUGCCAAGUGGAAAAAUCCAGUGAGGAGAGAGAGGGUUGAGUACGAUUUGAUAUGAUGCGAUGACAGCAUGAAAAAUAGAGGAAGAAUCCUCCACCAGUAGUGACUAUCCACCCAAGGCAGCGGCACACCACCCAAGGCCGCGCACGUAAGCCAAGGGGGCGGCGACACACUCCCUGAGGUGGCAGUGCAUUGCACCAAGCUGGUCGCACGCUGCAAACCUAGCCUGUAGGCACCAACUUAGCCUACUAUAUGCAUGAGCUAGCCUGUCCGUGCGAAGGGCCAACAGUC